UACGUAGGGGGCAAGCGUUGUCCGGAUUUAUUGGGCGUAAAGAGCGUGUAGGCGGUCAGGUAGGUCCGUUGUGAAAACUCGAGGCUCAACCUCGAGACGCCGAUGGAAACCAUCUGACUAGAGUCCGGAAGAGGAGAGUGGAAUUCCUGGUGUAGCGGUGAAAUGCGCAGAUAUCAGGAAGAACACCAAUGGCGAAGGCAGCUCUCUGGGACGGUACUGACACUGAGACGCGGAAAGCGUGGGGAGCGAACAGG
rnacentral:rRNA from 1 species